rnacentral:lncRNA from 1 species
GUGCGUGUGUGUGUCUGUCUGUCUGUCUGUAUACACGCAUACCACAAUGGGAUUAUAUUUUUCAUAAUGUUCUGCAGGCCACUUCUUCAAGAAUGCCGUGUCAAGUGUCUUGUGGUAUUUCAUCAGUGUCGCUUACAAGGCAUACUCAACAUUUAACAGCAGGAUCAUUAACCAUCCAUGCUGUGAUGUAAUGGAAUAGUGCUUUAUGCCAGUACUGGAGUGUCUUAUAUAGUAUGUCUACACAGUAUUUUUUUAAUUGGAGAGUUUAAAGGAGUACACUAUGUUUUGUUUGGUAGAUUUAUCAAUUUUUUAAUUUGGGGGUUAAAUAAGCUAUUUUCUGUGAAUGAUGGGGGACAGUUGGCUUCUUCCUUUUCAAUAUUUAUAUCUAUCAUUUUCUUGAUGAUUUUGAAAGAUUUUCUCUCUGUUCUCCAUGCCUCACUGUUUUUUAUUUGCUUUGUCAUCU